GUUUACGAUUUCUAGAUUUCAUACUUUCUACGUCACAAUUCCUAGAUUUCCACUUCUAUUGGUUCCAGUUAACCUAACUUCUGCCAUUCUCACACUUUAAGGCAUCAAUCGGUUGGAGUGAAUUAAAAAUUGAAUUUGGUGACAUGAGGUGCAGAUCCAAUACUAAAUUUAUUAAGGAUUCAUGGCAAUGACUGGAGAUUUUUGGACUGUGGACUCUAUCGCGACCCCCUCAGCAUCAACUACCGCUACUUCCGCUGGCGGCAGUGCGUCCGCCACCCCACCCUGCAAGGACGAAGAGAGACUCACUUUAAAAAUGGAUAAAGUUUCAAAAAUUUCAAAAAAGUGAAAGUUUAGCUAACAAGGCCUUUACAACACACAAGAUAAGAUGUACAAAAGCUAAGUGUUGUCACAAAGUUUUCCUAAUAAGGAGUACCUCAAUCUCAUAUGACAGGUAUUCAUCAAUUUCAAUUUUAUUUAUUGCUCAUUUAUUGUAGCCUAUAAUAUUCUCAAACUGGCUUAUAUUUAACAUAUUAAUGACAUGAUAAAAUUCAGCAAUUUGGGCUCAUAGAAACUUCAAAAUACAAUCUCAACAAUAAUAAUAAAAAUUUAUAAAAAAUAAUUUCUUCCUUGCUUAAAGCUAUUGAUUCUCAAAAACAGCCUUUCACACUUGCUUGCGGUCCCCAGUAAAUUCUUACUGACUAUCAUCCAUUCACGACAAAACGUAUUAUUUCCAAAGAUUUGGCUAUCAAGGCUGUAUAUCGCUGUCUUAACCAACUUAUUCGGUGAAGAAUAAAGUCGGAUGGUAAUCUUAUUGAUAUUUGAAUACUAGUAACUCGAUAGAUAAAAAUGAGAUUGGUCAUGCAAGGAAGUAGGGAAACAAAUAAAGGAUGCACCAUAAAAAAUUGACAAAAUUAUAUUACACAAACAAUCAAUGAAUGAAUAAAUAGAUAAAGAUGUAUAGAGCAACAAGCGAAAACAAUUAAUAUAGGAACAAAUUAUAUAUAAAAAGAAAGUAUCACAGAUUAGCUCACUAGUUUUUUAGCACGAAACGUUACCAUGUGCUUUCUGAAUCAUCAAUCACAUGCAUUUAUUUUAUGCAGCUCAGACAUCGACUUGCUGCUGCUUGUUGAUAGAACUCAAAUAUAUCUUCUUUCUGAUAAUAAUAAAAAUAAUAAAUUGAUAAAUUAUAAAUCUCAAAUAUAAUAAUCUGUAUAUAUCUUAGUAUAUUUCUCAGAGCUUGAGGUUCGGCCUCUGGUGGAACUAGACAAAUCAAUCUAUCCGGUGAACAUGAGCCACAUCUAUAUCCCUAUAAGCCGCCAAUAAAAUUUAUGAUCAAGUGAGCAUACAAACAUUACAACAUCAGAUUUUAAUACUCCUUCCAUCCAUGCAUCUUUGGACAUAUAAAUUUGAUGUAAUUCUUAUCUAGUGAAAUACGUUUUUUGUACCUUUAAAGACUUGCACAAGUUUUAUAUUGAUUCGAUAUUUAUAACCUUUCAACAAGCUAGCUUUUAAUACUUUCAUUUCACUCGAAGCACUGAGGGUGCCCUGAAUUUAUAUAUUUCGACAAUUUUCACUCAAGUGCUGAAUUUUACAAGAUGAUGGUGGCGAUCCAAAUUACCUGUCAUCCUGGAUUUCCUGGUGGCCAAAGUCGUCUUCUCCAAGGGAAUAAAUAAAUAUUCAAAUGAUUUACGCUUUAAUAUAGCAUCACUAAGUCUUAUACAGAUUAAUUAUGAAUUCAAACUUUAAAUCCCUCAAAUGCACAACUCAACAGAAGGGACCUGUGCUCUAUAAAAUUUAGUGGCAUUCCAUGGCAGCGUCUGGCAGGCAAGUGGGCUCUGUUCUACCCCUAUUCUCAACAUUCACACUUCCGACUUACAAAUCUGUACAUAUCCAAACACUCAGUUACCACGCCAUGAAAAGAUCAAACAGUCUGUGCCAAUCUGCUAAGUUAUUACCUAUAUCUUGAGUAUUACAUUUUACAAUUACUCGGACCACACCUGAUACAUAAACUGAGCAGCGACAACCUACAAAUUCUUAUCAUUUAUAUAAACAUCUAUAGAUAAAUUUGAACCGGCUCGCUAUCGCUGCCCAUCCACCACUGCAACCCAAUUGGUUCAUCCAAAAUUCACAAAUGCAUCCAUGCGCCUACUGAAUAUCAUACUUCCCCAAUACUUCCAUCCAUUUUAUGUGUCUUGUUCAUGCUCAUUACAAAUAAUAAAUUUUUUCAAGUUGUAUUUCCA